rfam:Trichococcus sp. R210 isolate Trichococcus_R210 genome assembly, contig: TR210DRAFT_scaffold-15
UCCACCGUGAGGUGGAAUCUGAAGGAAGUCGGACGCAAAUACUCGCACUGACGAACAGAAAUCUCAUAUAAGGCUGAAUAGAGACGGACGAGCUUGCACAACAAAGUAAAGUCCUAUACUGCACAAAUCUCUUACAGUAAAUGAGGCAGUGACAUGAGUGGAAGGUUAUCAUU